GUAGUCUCGCACAGAUGCAUAUCAAUAAGCGGAGGAAAAGAAACUAACAAGGAUUCCCUUAGUAACGGCGAGUGAAGCGGGAAGAGCUCAAAUUUGAAAUCUUCAAGGUUUUACCUUGACGAAUUGUAGUUUAAAGAAGUGUUUUCUGUUGAAGUUUUGGUAAAAGUUCUUUGGAAUAGGACAUCAUAGAGGGUGAGAAUCCCGUAUUUGACCAUUAUAUUUCAGCUGUGUGAUACACUUUCAAAGAGUCGGAUUGUUUGGGAACUGCAGUCCAAAAUGGGUGGUAAAUUUCAUCUAAAGCUAAAUAUUGGCGAGAGACCGAUAGCGAACAAGUACCGUGAGGGAAAGAUGAAAAGAACUUUGAAAAGAGAGUUAAACAGUACGUGAAAUUGUCAAAAGGGAAGCGUUUGACACCAGUGUUGUUUUCUCGAAAGUCAAUUAAAAAGAGUUAGAUUUUGUUGUGUAUUGACCUUAACAGCUUGCAUUUCAAUUUUCUUGCUUUUUUUAAUGCACUUUUCGUUUAACAAGUCAACAUCAGUUUCUUUUGUUGUAAAAAGGUCAUUGGAAGGUGGCUUUCUUUUCGGAGAAAGUGUUUAUAGCCUUUGACUCCUGCAAUCGGAGAGACUGAGGUCUGCAGCGUAGAUCCUUCGGGGUUAGAUACAUUUGUGCUAAGUUAUAGCUUUUUAUAGACAACUUGUUGACUAUGAUUAGUCUUGUAGCUUACUCGCUUGUGCUAUUUUACCUACGCUUAGGAUGUUGAGCGCAUGUCUCUCUCU
rnacentral:rRNA from 1 species